UACGUAGGGGGCAAGCGUUGUCCGGAAUUACUGGGCGUAAAGGGCGCGUAGGCGGCCUUCUAAGUCAGACGUGAAAUCCCCCGGCUUAACCUGGGAACUGCGUCUGAUACUGGGAGGCUUGAGUAUGGGAGAGGGAUGUAGAAUUCCAGGUGUAGCGGUGAAAUGCGUAGAUAUCUGGAGGAAUACCGGUGGCGAAGGCGGCAUCCUGGACCAUAACUGACGCUGAGGCGCGAAAGCUAGGGGAGCAAACGGG
rnacentral:rRNA from 1 species